GUGGGGAAUAUUGGGCAAUGGGCGAAAGCCUGACCCAGCAACGCCGCGUGAAGGAAGAAGGUUUUCGGAUCGUAAACUUCUAUCCUUGGUGAAGAUAAUGACGGUAGCCAAGAAGGAAGCCCCGGCUAACUACGUGCCAGCAGCCGCGGUAAUACGUAGGGGGCAAGCGUUGUCCGGAAUGAUUGGGCGUAAAGGGCGCGUAGGCGGCCCGGUAAGUCUGAAGUGAAAGUCCUGCUUUUAAGGUGGGAAUUGCUUUGGAUACUGUCGGGCUUGAGUGCAGGAGAGGUAAGCGGAAUUCCCGGUGUAGCGGUGAAAUGCGUAGAGAGCGGGAGAAACACCAGUGGCGAAGGCGGCUUACUGGACUGUAACUGACGCUGAGGCGCGAAAGUGUGGGGAGCAAACAGGAUUAGAAACCCGAGUAGUCC
rnacentral:rRNA from 1 species